GGACUACUAGGGUUUCUAAUCCUGUUUGCUCCCCACGCUUUCGCGCCUCAGCGUCAGUAUCUGUCCAGGUAGCCGCCUUCGCCACUGGUGUUCCUUCCGAUCUCUACGCAUUUCACCGCUACACCGGAAAUUCCACUACCCUCUACAGUACUCCAGUUUACCAGUAUAAGUUGCACGUCCUAGGUUAAGCCCAGGGAUUUCACAACUCACUUAAUAAACCGCCUACGCGCCCUUUACGCCCAGUAACUCCGAUUAACGCUUGCACCCUCUGUAUUACCGCGGCUGCUGGCAC
rnacentral:rRNA from 1 species